CUUGUGCAGUGCUCAUAAUUCUCCUCUUCUGUGAUCAUAAAUUUUUCAUCACGCUGUGCUUUUUCCAUUCCCACUUCCAUCCAAAUACAAAUGCCCUUAUAUUUGGAAAAAAAGCUAAAAAAUAUAUAAAACAAAUUAUAAAACCAAACACAGGCAAAUAAAUCCAAUCUGUUGUCUAAAACAACUAAAGUCUCUGUCUUCAUUCAUACCUGUUGGAUAUAAUGGGUUUAAUUUGUACAUUUGGUUUGACAUUUCUUUCUGUCUGAGAAGUUUUAAUCUGUUCCCACUUCGAGGGGGACUUUUUCUUUAUCCCCAGGAAUUGAAGUUGGGACACACGGUGUCCAGCUUCCAUAAAAUGACGGACUACUGAUGAAGUCACUACACCAGUUCUAAUGGCACUUUUAGGUUCUCUAUGCGGGUAGUCAGGGCACUGCUCGUUUGUCUUACAUAGCACUUGCCACAAG